UUAAGUUAGAAAGGGCGCACGGUGGAUGCCUUGACACUAGGAGUCGAUGAAGGACGGGACUAACGCCGAUAUGCUUCGGGGAGCUGUAAGUAAGCUUUGAUCCGAAGAUUUCCGAAUGGGGAAACCCACCAUACGUAAUGGUAUGGUAUCCUUAUCUGAAUACAUAGGAUAAGGAAGACAGACCCAGGGAACUGAAACAUCUAAGUACCUGGAGGAAGAGAAAGCAAAUGCGAUUUCCUGAGUAGCGGCGAGCGAAACGGAACAUAGCCCAAACCAAGAGGCUUGCCUCUUGGGGUUGUAGGACAUUCUAUACGGAGUUACAAAGGAACGAGGUAGACGAAGCGACCUGGAAAGGUCCGUCGUAGAGGGUAACAACCCCGUAGUCGAAACUUCGUUCUCUCUUGAAUGUAUCCUGAGUACGGCGGAACACGUGAAAUUCCGUCGGAAUCUGGGAGGACCAUCUCCCAAGGCUAAAUACUCCCUAGUGAUCGAUAGUGAACCAGUACCGUGAGGGAAAGGUGAAAAGCACCCCGGAAGGGGAGUGAAAGAGAUCCUGAAACCGUGUGCCUACAAAUAGUCAGAGCCCGUUAACGGGUGAUGGCGUGCCUUUUGUAGAAUGAACCGGCGAGUUACGAUCCCGUGCGAGGUUAAGCUGAAGAGGCGGAGCCGCAGCGAAAGCGAGUCUGAAUAGGGCGUUUAGUACGUGGUCGUAGACCCGAAACCAGGUGAUCUACCCAUGUCCAGGGUGAAGUUCAGGUAACACUGAAUGGAGGCCCGAACCCACGCACGUUGAAAAGUGCGGGGAUGAGGUGUGGGUAGCGGAGAAAUUCCAAUCGAACCUGGAGAUAGCUGGUUCUCCCCGAAAUAGCUUUAGGGCUAGCCUUAAGUGUAAGAGUCUUGGAGGUAGAGCACUGAUUGGACUAGGGGUCCUCAUCGGAUUACCGAAUUCAGUCAAACUCCGAAUGCCAAUGACUUAUCCUUAGGAGUCAGACUGCGAGUGAUAAGAUCCGUAGUCAAAAGGGAACAGCCCAGACCGCCAGCUAAGGUCCCAAAGUGUGUAUUAAGUGGAAAAGGAUGUGGAGUUGCUUAGACAACUAGGAUGUUGGCUUAGAAGCAGCCACCAUUUAAAGAGUGCGUAAUAGCUCACUAGUCGAGUGACUCUGCGCCGAAAAUGUACCGGGGCUAAAUACACCACCGAAGCUGCGGAUUGAUACCAAUGGUAUCAGUGGUAGGGGAGCGUUCUAAGGACAGUGAAGUCAGACCGGAAGGACUGGUGGAGUGCUUAGAAGUGAGAAUGCCGGUAUGAGUAGCGAAAGACGGGUGAGAAUCCCGUCCACCGAAUGCCUAAGGUUUCCUGAGGAAGGCUCGUCCGCUCAGGGUUAGUCAGGACCUAAGCCGAGGCCGACAGGCGUAGGCGAUGGACAACAGGUUGAUAUUCCUGUACCACCUCUUUAUCGUUUGAGCAAUGGAGGGACGCAGAAGGAUAGAAGAAGCGUGCGAUUGGUUGUGCACGUCCAAGCAGUUAGGCUGAUAAGUAGGCAAAUCCGCUUAUCGUGAAGGCUGAGCUGUGAUGGGGAAGCUCCUUAUGGAGCGAAGUCUUUGAUUCCCCGCUGCCAAGAAAAGCUUCUAGCGAGAUAAAAGGUGCCUGUACCGCAAACCGACACAGGUAGGCGAGGAGAGAAUCCUAAGGUGUGCGAGAGAACUCUGGUUAAGGAACUCGGCAAAAUGACCCCGUAACUUCGGGAGAAGGGGUGCUUUCUUAACGGAAAGCCGCAGUGAAUAGGCCCAAGCGACUGUUUAGCAAAAACACAGCUCUCUGCGAAGCCGUAAGGCGAAGUAUAGGGGGUGACACCUGCCCGGUGCUGGAAGGUUAAGGAGAGGGGUUAGCGUAAGCGAAGCUCUGAACUGAAGCCCCAGUAAACGGCGGCCGUAACUAUAACGGUCCUAAGGUAGCGAAAUUCCUUGUCGGGUAAGUUCCGACCCGCACGAAAGGUGUAACGAUUUGGGCACUGUCUCAACCAGAGACUCGGUGAAAUUAUAGUACCUGUGAAGAUGCAGGUUACCCGCGACAGGACGGAAAGACCCCGUGGAGCUUUACUGUAGCCUGAUAUUGAAUUUUGGUACAGUUUGUACAGGAUAGGCGGGAGCCUUUGAAACCGGAGCGCUAGCUUCGGUGGAGGCGCUGGUGGGAUACCGCCCUGACUGUAUUGAAAUUCUAACCUACGGGUCUUAUCGACCCGGGAGACAGUGUCAGGUGGGCAGUUUGACUGGGGCGGUCGCCUCCUAAAGUGUAACGGAGGCGCCCAAAGGUUCCCUCAGAAUGGUUGGAAAUCAUUCGUAGAGUGCAAAGGCAUAAGGGAGCUUGACUGCGAGACCUACAAGUCGAGCAGGGACGAAAGUCGGGCUUAGUGAUCCGGUGGUUCCGCAUGGAAGGGCCAUCGCUCAACGGAUAAAAGCUACCCCGGGGAUAACAGGCUUAUCUCCCCCAAGAGUCCACAUCGACGGGGAGGUUUGGCACCUCGAUGUCGGCUCAUCGCAUCCUGGGGCUGUAGUCGGUCCCAAGGGUUGGGCUGUUCGCCCAUUAAAGCGGUACGCGAGCUGGGUUCAGAACGUCGUGAGACAGUUCGGUCCCUAUCCGUCGUGGGCGUAGGAAAUUUGAGAGGAGCUGUCCUUAGUACGAGAGGACCGGGAUGGACGCACCGCUGGUGUACCAGUUGUUCUGCCAAGGGCAUAGCUGGGUAGCUAUGUGCGGAAGGGAUAAGUGCUGAAAGCAUCUAAGCAUGAAGCCCCCCUCAAGAUGAGAUUUCCCAUAGCGUAAGCUAGUAAGAUCCCUGAAAGAUGAUCAGGUUGAUAGGUUCGAGGUGGAAGCAUGGUGACAUGUGGAGCUGACGAAUACUAAUAGAUCGAGGACUUAACCAU
rnacentral:rRNA from 1 species